UGAAAGGGUUGCAGCAUUAGGAUGGUUGAGAGCCACUGCUACAGAGAAUCCGUUCAUAGCUGGUGUUUCCCCGAGCUGCACCAAUUUACUGAACCUGAGGAGGCAGGUGUGGGGACCUUAAUUUAUAGAAGUCGGGUCAGAAGUUCAGUUUACUGGCAACAUGCAACGUACCAACCACACUGCACAAAGAAAUCCUCUGUUACCAUCUGGAAUUUCACUAAAAGUAAAGUAUUAACAUCCCACAUCCAAAUACAACAAUUUCCCUUAAAA